GCACUACUGAACAGUCCAAUAAUAGGACGAAACGGUCGUCCAUUGC
rnacentral:hammerhead_ribozyme from 1 species